CCAUAGGGGGUAGAGCACUGUUUCGGCUAGGGGGUCAUCCCGACUUACCAAACCGAUGCAAACUCCGAAUACCUAUGAGUACUAUCCGGGAGACAGACUGCGGGUGCUAACGUCCGUAGUCAAGAGGAAAACAAUCCAGACCGCCAGCUAAGGCCCCAAAAUCAUAGUUAAGUGGGAAACGAUGUGGGAAGGCAUAGACAGCUAGGAGGUUGGCUUAGAAGCAGCCACCCUUUAAAGAAAGCGUAAUAGCUCACUAGUCGAGUCGGCCUGCGCGGAAGAUGUAACGGGGCUAAAACUAUGUGCCGAAGCUGCGGAUGUAUACUUUGUAUACGUGGUAGGGGAGCGUUCUGUAAGCCGAUGAAGGUGUGUUGAGAAGCAUGCUGGAGGUAUCAGAAGUGCGAAUGCUGACGUGAGUAACGACAAAACGGGUGAAAAACCCGUUCGCCGAAAGACCAAGGGUUCCAGUCCAACGUUAAUCGGGGCUGGGUGAGUCGACCCCUAAGGCGAGGCCGAAAGGCGUAGUCGAUGGGAAAAUGGUUAAUAUUCCAUUACUUCUGUGUAAUGCGAUGAGAGGACGGAGAAGGCUAAAUCAGCCUGGCGUUGGUUGUCCAGGUGAAAGGAUGUAGGCAUGUAUCUUAGGCAAAUCCGGGGUACUCUAUGCUGAGAUCUGAUAGCAAGCUGUACUUGUACAGCGAAGUGGUUGAUGCCAUGCUUCCAGGAAAAGUCUCUAAGCUUCAGUUACACAGGAAUCGUACCCGAAACCGACACAGGUGGUCAGGUCGAGUAGACCAAGGCGCUUGAGAGAACUCUGCUGAAGGAACUAGGCAAAAUGGUACCGUAACUUCGGGAGAAGGUACGCUGUUGUUGGUGAUGGAACUCGCUUCCUGAGCUGACGACAGCCGCAGAAACCAGGCCGCUGCAACUGUUUAUUAAAAACAUAGCACUCUGCAAACACGAAAGUGGACGUAUAGGGUGUGAUGCCUGCCCGGUGCUGGAAGGUUAAUUGAUGGGGUUAGCGUAAGCGAAGCUCUUGAUCGAAGCCCCAGUAAACGGCGGCCGUAACUAUAACGGUCCUAAGGUAGCGAAAUUCCUUGUCGGGUAAGUUCCGACCUGCACGAAUGGCAUAAUGAUGGCGGCGCUGUCUCCAGCAGAGGCUCAGUGAAAUCGAAAUCGCUGUGAAGAUGCAGUGUACCCGCGGCUAGACGGAAAGACCCCGUGAACCUUUACUGCAGCUUGACACUGAACUUUGACCUUACUUGUGUAGGAUAGGUGGGAGGCUUUGAAGCUGGAACGCUAGUUCCAGUGGAGCCGUCCUUGAAAUACCACCCUGGUAAUGUUGAGGUUCUAACUCUGUCCCGUGAUCCGGGACGAGGACCGUGUCUGGUGGGUAGUUUGACUGGGGCGGUCUCCUCCUAAAGAGUAACGGAGGAGUACGAAGGUGCGCUCAGCGUGGUCGGAAAUCACGCGUAGAGUAUAAAGGCAAAAGCGCGCUUAACUGCGAGACCCACAAGUCGAGCAGGUACGAAAGUAGGUCUUAGUGAUCCGGUGGUUCUGUAUGGAAGGGCCAUCGCUCAACGGAUAAAAGGUACUCUGGGGAUAACAGGCUGAUACCGCCCAAGAGUUCAUAUCGACGGCGGUGUUUGGCACCUCGAUGUCGGCUCAUCUCAUCCUGGGGCUGAAGCAGGUCCCAAGGGUAUGGCUGUUCGCCAUUUAAAGAGGUACGCGAGCUGGGUUUAGAACGUCGUGAGACAGUUCGGUCCCUAUCUACCGGGGGCGCUGGAAAUUUGAGAGGAUCUGCUCCUAGUACGAGAGGACCAGAGUGGACGAACCUCUGGUGUACCGGUUGUGACGCCAGUCGCAUCGCCGGGUAGCUAUGUUCGGAAGGGAUAACCGCUGAAAGCAUCUAAGCGGGAAGCCUACCUCAAGAUAAGAUUUCCCUAGGACUUUAUGUCCUCUAAAGAGCCGUUCGAGACUAGGACGUUGAUAGGUUGGAUGUGGAAGCAUAGUGAUAUGUGAAGCUGACCAAUACUAAUUGCUCGUGAGGCUUGACUA
rnacentral:rRNA from 1 species